GGGGAUUUAGCUCAGUGGCAUAAGCGCCUGCCUUGCAAGCAGGAAGUCGUGAGUUCGAUCCCCG
rnacentral:tRNA from 1 species